rnacentral:rRNA from 1 species
UCGCGUGACAAACCGGAGGAAGUGGGGAUGACGUCAAGUCCUCAUGGCCCUUAUGGGUAGGGCUUCACACGUCAUACAAUGGUCGGUACAGAGGGUUGCCAAGCCGCGAGGCGGAGCCAAUCCCACAAAGCCGAUCGUAGUCCGGAUUGUUCUCUGCAACUCGAGAGCAUGAAGUCGGAAUCGCUAGUAAUCGCAGGUCAGCAUACUGCGGUGAAUACGUUCCCGGGCCUU